UGGGGAAUAUUGCACAAUGGGCGCAAGCCUGAUGCAGCCAUGCCGCGUGUGUGAAGAAGGCCUUCGGGUUGUAAGCACUUUCAGCGAGGAGGAAGGGUAGUGUGUUAAUAGCACAUUGCAUUGACGUUACUCGCAGAAGAAGCACCGGCUAACUCCGUGCCAGCAGCCGCGGUAAUACGGAGGUGCAAGCGUUAAUCGGA
rnacentral:rRNA from 1 species